GACGAACGCUGGCGGCGUGCCUAAUACAUGCAAGUCGAGCGGACCGAACAGGAGCUUGCUCUUGUUCGGUUAGCGGCGGACGGGUGAGUAACACGUGGGUAACCUGCCCGUAAGACCGGGAUAACUCCGGGAAACCGGAGCUAAUACCGGAUAACACCGAAGACCGCAUGGUCUUUGGUUGAAAGGCGGCUUCGGCUGCCACUUACGGAUGGGCCCGCGGCGCAUUAGCUAGUUGGUGAGGUAACGGCUCACCAAGGCGACGAUGCGUAGCCGGCCUGAGAGGGUGACCGGCCACACUGGGACUGAGGCACGGCCCAGACUCCUACGGGAGGCAGCAGUAGGGAAUCUUCCGCAAUGGACGAAAGUCUGACGGAGCGACGCCGCGUGAGCGAAGAAGGUCUUCGGAUCGUAAAGCUCUGUUGUUAGGGAAGAAGAAGCGUCGUUCGAACAGGGCGGCGCGGUGACGGUACCUAACGAGAAAGCCCCGGCUAACUACGUG
rnacentral:rRNA from 1 species